rnacentral:rRNA from 1 species
UGGGAAUUUUGGACAAUGGGCGAAAGCCUGAUCCAGCAAUGCCGCGUGUGUGAAGAAGGCCUUCGGGUUGUAAAGCACUUUUGUCCGGAAAGAAAUCCUUGGCUCUAAUACAGUCGGGGGAUGACGGUACCGGAAGAAUAAGCACCGGCUAACUACGUGCCAGCAGCCGCGGUAAUACGUAGGGUGCAAGCGUUAAUCGGAAUUACUGGGCGUAAAGCGUGCGCAGGCGGUUUGCUAAGACCGAUGUGAAAUCCCCGGGCUCAACCUGGGAACUGCAUUGGUGACUGGCAGGCUAGAGUAUGGCAGAGGGGGGUAGAAUUCCACGUGUAGCAGUGAAAUGCGUAGAGAUGUGGAGGAAUACCGAUGGCGAAGGCAGCCCCCUGGGCCAAUACUGACGCUCAUGCACGAAAGCGUGGGGAGCAAACAGGAUUAGAUACCCUGGUAGUCCACGCCCUAAAACGAUGUCAACUAGUUGUUGGGGAUUCAUUUCCUUAGUAACGUAGCUAACGCGUGAAGUUGACCGCCUGGGGAGUACGUCGCAAGAUUAAAACUUAAAUGAAUUG